rnacentral:rRNA from 1 species
UCAACACGGGAAAACUCACCUGGCCCGGACACCGCGAGGAUUGACAGAUUGAUAGCUCUUUCUUGAUUCGGUGGAUGGUGGUGCAUGGCCGUUCUUAGUUGGUGGAGUGAUUUGUCUGGUUUAUUCCGAUAACGAGCGAGACUCUAGCCUACUAAAUAGAUAUCGGAUUGACGCGUCCGUUAUACUUCCUAGAGGGACAAGCGGUGCUCAACCGCACGAAAUUGAGCAAUAACAGGUCUGUGAUGCCCUUGGAUGUCCAGGGCUGCACGCGCGCUACACUGGAAGAAUCAACGUGCCGUAACCAUUGCCGAAACGCAUUGGUAACCACGUGAAAAUCUUCCGUGAUCGGAAUCGGGAAUUGCAAUUGUUUCCCUUGAACGAGGAAUUCCCAGUAAGUGUGAGUCAUCAGCUCGCGUUGAUUACGUCCCUGCCCUUUGUACACACCGCCCGUCGCUGCCCGGGACUGAGCCGUUUCGAGAAAUGCGGGGAUUAUUGUUUCGAAGUCCUUCGGGACGGAGACUCUUGGUGAGAACCGCCUUAAUCGCAGUGGCUUGAACCGGGCAAAAGUCGUAACAAGGUUUCCGUAGGUGAACCUGCGGAAGGAUCAUUAUCG